rnacentral:rRNA from 1 species
AGUGAACGCUGGCGGUAGGCCUAACACAUGCAAGUCGAACGGCAGCACAGUAAGAGCUUGCUCUUACGGGUGGCGAGUGGCGGACGGGUGAGGAAUACAUCGGAAUCUACUUUUUCGUGGGGGAUAACGUAGGGAAACUUACGCUAAUACCGCAUACGACCUACGGGUGAAAGCAGGGGAUCUUCGGACCUUGCGCGAUUGAAGGAGCCGAUGUCGGAUUAGCUAGUUGGCGGGGUAAAGGCCCACCAAGGCGACGAUCCGGAGCUGGUCUGAGAGGAUGAUCAGCCACACUGGAACUGAGACACGGUCCAGACUCCUACGGGAGGCAGCAGUGGGGAAUAUUGGACAAUGGGCGCAAGCCUGAUCCAGCCAUACCGCGUGGGUGAAGAAGGCCUUCGGGUUGUAAAGCCCUUUUGUUGGGAAAGAAAAGCAGCAGGUUAAUACCCCGCUGUUCUGACGGUACCCAAAGAAUAAGCACCGGCUAACUUCGUG